ACACGGCCCAAACUCCUACGGGAGGCAGCAGUAGGGAAUCUUCCACAAUGGACGCAAGUCUGAUGGAGCAACGCCGCGUGAGUGACGAAGGUCUUCGGAUCGUAAAACUCUGUUGUUAGAGAAGAACACGAGUGAGAGUAACUGUUCAUUCGAGGACGGUAUCUAACCAGCAAGUCACGGCUAACUACGUGCCAGCAGCCGCGGUAAUACGUAGGUGGCAAGCGUUGUCCGGAUUUAUUGGGCGUAAAGGGAACGCAGGCGGUCUUUUAAGUCUGAUGUGAAAGCCUUCGGCUUAACCGGAGUAGUGCAUUGGAAACUGGAAGACUUGAGUGCAGAAGAGGAGAGUGGAACUCCAUGUGUAGCGGUGAAAUGCGUAGAGAUCAGGAAGAACAUCGGUGGCGAAGGCGCUCUGCUGGACCAUAACUGACACUCAGGGACGAAAGCUAGGGGAGCGGAAUGGGAUUAGAUACCCCAGUAGUCCUAGCCGUAAACGAUGGAUACGUAGGUGUUGUCUGUAUCGACCGGACAGUGUACCGG
rnacentral:rRNA from 1 species